rnacentral:lncRNA from 1 species
CUUUCUGGCCGCCGUUGCGUCUCCGCCUUAGAUUUGUCCCCCGCCACACCCACCUUUGCUGUGUCUUCAGCACAUGGCGGAAGUGGGUUCCCGGUUCUGCAGGACCCUCGUCCGGGUGAGCGGAAUGAGCCAGAUCGCCAUGCUGGGCAGAGCAGGAGAAGAGGUGACCCUCACGGCGCCUCCCAGGCAGUCGGCUUCAGCUCAAUCAUGAAUUACGACAAGGACAGCACAGGUGUCGUGUCUGCGCGAUGCACAGGCCGGACGCAACCAGAUUCUACUUUUUCCUGUAUCUACGACCCAUUUACUGCCUCACCCAGAAUGAAGAUAACCUCCUGAGAAGUGAAAGCCUUCGACACGUCAUCCUCAUCAUCGAGCUUCCGCGGAAGAGCAUUGUACAAGUCGGGCAGAAGCCUUGGAAUGGACUUCGUGGGGCCUGGGGGUCUGCGGUUGCUUCGCGUCUCCUUGAGGUGAACGCACGGGUCCCAGACGACAACUUCCGACUCUCUUCGGCUCUCUCAGAACUUGUCCCUGGCGAGACAGAACCCUCGCCCCUGCAGAGAGACUGGCCCUCUGGAUCGUCUUUCUCCUUCUCUGGCCGAGGGAGAAGAGUCCCUCAGAACCAAGGGCAGGCCCGGGCCUCGGAUCACGAUGCCGCGUCUGAGAGCAAGGGUGCCGGCAGGCCCAGGCCUCGCGCUGCCACUUGGCGGUGCGCCGACUUUCUUUGGAAAAUCCAGCAUUCACACGUCUACCCUGUGGGCCAGGGAGAGGACGGUGCUAGUUUUGAGCUCAGACCGUUUUUUGGUCAAGAUGGACGUGUUUAAAGUUGACGUUGGCACUUUCUACAACUUCAACAGCAUUUUCACUAACACCGUAAACUUCUCUUCUCCUGGCGUAAACAUCCUCAGUUUCUUCAAUGAUUAUUCCUUUCUUUUAAUUUUUAAUUUUGAUUUAAAAUUUUUUUAAUUUAAAUUCAGUUUGCCAACAUAUAGUCUAAUACCCAGUGCUCAUCCCGUCAAGUGCCCCCCUCAGUGCCCGUCACCCAGUCACCCCCACCCCCCGCCCACCUCCCCUUCCACCACCCCUUGUUCGUUUCUCAGAGUUAGGAGUCUCUCAUGUUCUGUCUCCCUCUCUGAUUUUCCCCACUCAGUUUCCCUCCUUUUCCCUUUAAUCCCUUUCACUAUUUCUUAUAUUCCCCAUAUGAGUGAGACCAUAUGAUGAUUGUCCUUCUCCAACUGACUUACUUCACUCAGCAUCAUACCCUCCAGUUCCAUCCACAUCGAAGCCAAUGGUGGGUAUUUGUCGUUUCUAAUGGCUGAGGAAUAUUCCAUUGUAUACAUAACCACAUCUUCUUUAUCCAUUCAUCUGUUGAUGGACACCGAGGCUCCUCCCACAGUUUGGCUAUUGUGGACAUUCAAUAAUUAUUCUCAUGGAGCAGCUUCUAGAACUUUGCCUCUGGUCAGCCUCCUCCAACAGGGCCAACAAGCUUAUUGGUUUCACCUGGAAUUUUUCUUGAACUACUUUUCUUCAAGUAUUUUUUUUUUUUUUAAUGUAUCGUAUCCACAUUAACAAAAUCCCUCAUGCAUCACCUCGUGUGGCCAGUGCACAUUUAAUAGUGCAAUGUAUUCAUGUGAUCAGGAUGCUAGUGUUGUAACAGAGCAAAGUUAAAUGGCCCCCACCUCACAGACAUGCACAUACCCUGUUCUUUGCUUCUCAGGCCUGUGGUCUGCUACAGCCUUGGGAGUUGCUAGCAGUGCAAUCUCCAGCCUCUUUAUUCUUUUUUUUUUAAAUACAUUUAUUUUUUAUUGGUGUUCAAUUUGCCAACAUACAGCAUAACAACCAGUGCUCAUCCCAUCAAUUGCCCCCCUCAGUGCCUGUCACCCAGUCACCCCCACCCCCCACCACCUCCCCUUCCACCACCUAGUUCAUUUCCCAGAGUUAGGAGUCUUCCAUGUUGUGUCUCCCUCUCUGGUACUUCCCACUCAUUUUUUCUCCUUUCCCCUUUAUUCCCUUUCACUAUUUUUUAUAUUCCCCAAAUGAAUGAGACCAUAUAAUGUUCGUCCUUCUCCGACAGCCUCUUUAUUCUGACCGUGUGGAAUUGCCUCUUCUAUUUUCUGUUUAUCUGGAUACAAGACUGUGCAUCUAUAUGGCUUUAAACACAUCUAGUUCAAGCUUAAGGCUAUAGUAUCACACUGUGUACCCAGAAGGUGUUUAAUAAAUGCUUAUGAACAAAAUGCUUAAUCUAUGCUUCUCCAGUAAUUAGGUGACCACAGAGUCUUUCUGCUAUUGUUAGAAGGCUUUAAUUCUUCUCAUCUUUUCUUUUUUUCCUUUUUACUGUAUUUUAAAUUCUUCCUGAAGUUGUCAGUGAGGGAAUCUGUUUCUCUUUCAUCUCCCUACUUGCAUUAACUGAACAGCAGAAUUUGUCUUUACUGGUCCUAGUGCCACAUUUUUUUCUUUAAUUUUUAAAAUUUUUUUUAUUUUUUUAUUUUUUUAGUGCCACAUUUUAAAAGAAAGGGGAAAAAAGGAAAAAGAAGGGCGUUAGGGAUGUGUUGCCCUCCUUAGUAAUACAUGUUUUCUGUUCUCUGGAUGGUUUAUGAUUUAGAAACUGUGGACUCCAGUAUCUUUCCUAUAGCAAACAGAAACAACCGAGGGUACAUCAGGGUGAUUAGUAUGCAAGGGGCCGAUUCUGGGAUAUUCACUAUAGCUUGUCCUUUCAAUGUGUCUUCUUUUGACAUCUUCACCCCGGGUAUCCUGGCAACACAGCACUUCACAAAAAAACAAAAGUCCCAUAGACACUGUUUGCUGAAUUCCAUCAGAAUAAUAAAAAGACUGUUUUAUUGAAGCAUUUGUUGAAGACGGUAAUUUAGAAAAAUAGCAAGACCGCAGCUCAAUGUACUGGAUUCAAAAGUGACUGACACUGAAGGAAACCUUAGUGCAAAGGGUGGUGACUUUGGGUCCUGUAAUUCCUCGACCAUUUGCAGGAAGAGGAGCGUGAAAGAGAGACGAUUUGUGGACUAAAGUGGGAAGUAAACCAACAUGGGAGGACUUAGAGUCAGGAAUCCCUCGAAGGGCCUGCUGUGCCCCAGUGGGGUGCCUGUCUCCCCCGGGCCGGAGAGGGUCUUCACGGCCUGUGCGACCGACCUCAGAAGAGUCCCCGCCGCGGCCCGGAGCCCUGCCCGCCCGCCCGGCGCCCCAUCCGCGCCUGCUGGAGUCCGGGCCGCCCGCUGAGGGCCGCACACCGACUCUUGCUAGGCCUUUGGGGGUCCAGCGACCUUAGCAAGACAUUUGGAACUUGGGAUCCAUUCAGUGCAGCGACCACACCGUCACUGAUCCCCUGGUUCCCUGUGGGCCUCGCCAGGUGAGCUGCGGCACCUCCGUGCGACCCGGGGACAGGCGGCCGCCCGCCUGGAGCAGGUGGGGGACGUGUGUCGGGCCAGGGCUUCCCCUGUCGCCGUGGGCCCCAUGUGCGCCUCCCGAGGGCAGGCCUGCCCGUGCCAUCCCGCCCCGAGGUCGCUGGCUGCGGGGGACCCCGGACUCACAGGGAGGACAGGGCUCCCCCAGGAGGUGCGGGCACGCGGGCUGUGGGCCGGCGCAGAGCCCUGGGCUUGGCGGCCACCCCCUGGGCAGCGCAGCCCCCGGCUCCCUCCUGCGGGGCCCCCGGGACCAGGCCCGCACCCCU